AAGCAUAGUUCAAGCUGUAGAGUACCUGCCUAGGAAGCAUGGAGCCUGAGUUCAAAUCCCAGUGUGCUUU
rnacentral:tRNA from 1 species